CAAUAGCGUAUAUUAAAGUUGUUGCGGUUAAAAAGCUCGUAGUUGGAUCUCGGCGGGUAGAAGGCGGUACACUGCUAAGUGUUACUGCCUUAUUACCCGUAGUUUUUGCUAGAGGUUUCAGGGUGCUCUUAAUCGAGUGUCCUGGGAUGCUAGCAGGUUUACUUUGAAAAAAUUAGAGUGCUCAAAGCAGGCUACUACGCUUGAAUAUUCGUGCAUGGAAUAAUAGAAUAGGAAGUCGUUUCUAUUUUGUUGGUUUUCGGAAAUCGACUUAAUGAUUAAUAGGGACAGUCGGGGGCAUUUGUAUUCAAACGACAGAGGUGAAAUUCUUGGACCGUUUGAAGACAAACUACUGCGAAAGCAUUUGCCAAGAAUGUUUUCAUUAAUCAAGAA
rnacentral:rRNA from 1 species